rnacentral:rRNA from 1 species
CAGCCGCCACGGGAACACGGAGGAUCCAAGCGUUAUCCGGAUUUAUUGGGUUUAAAGGGUGCGUAGGUGGCCUGUUAAGUCAGGGGUGAAAGACGGUAGCUCAACUAUCGCAGUGCCCUUGAUACUGAUGGGCUUGAAUGAACUAGAGGUAGGCGGAAUGUGACAAGUAGCGGUGAAAUGCAUAGAUAUGUCACAGAACACCAAUUGCGAAGGCAGCUUACUAUGGUUUGAUUGACACUGAGGCACGAAAGCGUGGGGAGCAAACAGGAUUAGAUACCCCCGUAGUCCCUGUCUCUUAUAC